rnacentral:tRNA from 1 species
AAAGCAAGGCACUGAAAAUGCCAAGAUGAGUCGCACGACUCCAUAAACA